AGAGUUUGAUCAUGGCUCAGAUUGAACGCUGGCGGCAGGCCUAACACAUGCAAGUCGAACGGUAACAGGAAGAAGCUUGCUUCUUUGCUGACGAGUGGCGGACGGGUGAGUAAUGUCUGGGAAACUGCCUGAUGGAGGGGGAUAACUACUGGAAACGGUAGCUAAUACCGCAUAACGUCGCAAGACCAAAGAGGGGGACCUUCGGGCCUCUUGCCAUCGGAUGUGCCCAGAUGGGAUUAGCUAGUAGGUGAGGUAACGGCUCACCUAGGCGACGAUCCCUAGCUGGUCUGAGAGGAUGACCAGCCACACUGGAACUGAGACACGGUCCAGACUCCUACGGGAGGCAGCAGUGGGGAAUAUUGCACAAUGGGCGCAAGCCUGAUGCAGCCAUGCCGCGUGUAUGAAGAAGGCCUUCGGGUUGUAAAGUACUUUCAGCGGGGAGGAAGGGAGUAAAGUUAAUACCUUUGCUCAUUGACGUUACCCGCAGAAGAAGCACCGGCUAACUCCGUGCCAGCAGCCGCGGUAAUACGGAGGGUGCAAGCGUUAAUCGGAAUUACUGGGCGUAAAGCGCACGCAGGCGGUUUGUUAAGUCAGAUGUGAAAUCCCCGGGCUCAACCUGGGAACUGCAUCUGAUACUGGCAAGCUUGAGUCUCGUAGAGGGGGGUAGAAUUCCAGGUGUAGCGGUGAAAUGCGUAGAGAUCUGGAGGAAUACCGGUGGCGAAGGCGGCCCCCUGGACGAAGACUGACGCUCAGGUGCGAAAGCGUGGGGAGCAAACAGGAUUAGAUACCCUGGUAGUCCACGCCGUAAACGAUGUCGACUUGGAGAUUGUGCCCUUGAGGCGUGGCUUCCGGAGCUAACGCGUUAAGUCGACCGCCUGGGGAGUACGGCCGCAAGGUUAAAACUCAAAUGAAUUGACGGGGGCCCGCACAAGCGGUGGAGCAUGUGGUUUAAUUCGAUGCAACGCGAAGAACCUUACCUGGUCUUGACAUCCACGGAAGUUUUCAGAGAUGAGAAUGUGCCUUCGGGAACCGUGAGACAGGUGCUGCAUGGCUGUCGUCAGCUCGUGUUGUGAAAUGUUGGGUUAAGUCCCGCAACGAGCGCAACCCUUAUCCUUUGUUGCCAGCGGUCCGGCCGGGAACUCAAAGGAGACUGCCAGUGAUAAACUGGAGGAAGGUGGGGAUGACGUCAAGUCAUCAUGGCCCUUACGACCAGGGCUACACACGUGCUACAAUGGCGCAUACAAAGAGAAGCGACCUCGCGAGAGCAAGCGGACCUCAUAAAGUGCGUCGUAGUCCGGAUUGGAGUCUGCAACUCGACUCCAUGAAGUCGGAAUCGCUAGUAAUCGUGGAUCAGAAUGCCACGGUGAAUACGUUCCCGGGCCUUGUACACACCGCCCGUCACACCAUGGGAGUGGGUUGCAAGAGAAGUAUGUAGCUUAACCUUCGGGAGGGCGCUUACCACUUUGUGAUCCAUGACUGGGGUGAAGUCGUAACAAGGUAACCGUAGGGGAACCUGCGGUUGGAUCACCU
rnacentral:rRNA from 1 species